rnacentral:rRNA from 1 species
UACGGGGGGAGCAAGCGUUGUUCGGAUUUACUGGGCGUAAAGGGCGCGUAGGCGGCCAGCACAAGUCAGUUGUGAAAUCUCCGAGCUUAACUCGGAAAGGUCAACUGAUACUGUGCGGCUAGAGUGCGGAAGGGGCAACUGGAAUUCUCGGUGUAGCGGUGAAAUGCGUAGAUAUCAGGAGGAACACCGAUGGCGAAGGCAGGUCUCUGGGCUGACACUGACGCUCAUGCACGAAAGCGUGGGGAGCAAACAGG